UUAAUUAAAUUUAUAUUUAUUAUAUUACACGAAGCUGAAGGAGCUAGUUUUUUAAUUUAUUAGAUACAGAGGUGUCGCAUAACUUUAAAGAUUUAAAAUUAGGAGUGACAGGCUUUACACAUUUAGUGAUAACUUGAUUACUAGUAAAGGUAUUAGUACAUAAACAUUUUGGAAAUGAUAAGGUUUUCAAAUAGAAUUAAUUAUGAUAAGAAGAAUAUAUAUGGUUUAGUCACUUAUGUAAUGAUAUAUUAUAAUUAUACUUUAUGAAUUAUUUAAAAUACCAGUAAAUGUUAUAAUUAUAAUAAACAAAUAUAAUGUUAAUAUUAGUAACAAUUAAAUAUUAUUAAUGAACUCGGCAAAAGUCCUUUAACUGUUUAUCAAAAACAUAGCCGUAUGUACAAAUAUAUGGUGAUUUCUGCUCCAUGAAGUUUAAAUAGCCGCAGUACCCUGACUGUGCAAAGGUAGCGCAAUCAAUUGGCUUUUAAUUGAAGUCCUGUAUGAAAGAAAAUAUAAGGGGGCUACUUUAUCAGUAAUAUUAUAUGAAUUUUCUAAUUAAGUGCAAAUACUUAUAUUUAAAUAAUAGACGAGAAGACCCUAGAAAUUUUGAGAAUUAUUCUUUUUGUUGGGGCAACAAAGUAGUAAAAUAUAACCUACUAUUAUUACAUGUAAGAUAUAACUUGUAAGAUUAAAUUACUCUAGGGAUAACAGCAUAAUCAAUGAAAGUUUGUGACCUCGAUGUUGGACUAGGGAAUUAACAUUUAGAAG
rnacentral:rRNA from 1 species